UCUGUGAAUGAAAAAGGAAACUUCAUUGACAAUCAGCGUGGGUAUUUACUUUGCAGUGACUUGACAUUGUGACUGUAAAAUAACCUUCUGUUGGGGUUUUCAGUGCCUAGCACAGGAACCCUGUCUUAUGUUUGAGGAAUCCUCCUGUGUGACCCCUGAGGGAAGCGAACAGCACCCCACCUUCUACUGCAGAAGCUAAAACAGCCUAAUACUCGCUUUCCUGUCCACUGGCAGCUGGAAGACAGGCAUACAACCUGAACUUGGCCAACUGGAACCUCCCACCUGGAUCACUGAUUAUGAAGCAACAAUUAAGUAUGGAAGGGGCUCAAGACCUGUAGCUGUAACUGUUACCUGAGACAGAAGGAAGUCCUGCAGCUCCUGCUCCUGAUGAGACAGAGUGAUGACUCUUCCAUCUCUGUGUACGACUCGGAUCUGCUCAACUCCAAUAUUCAACUGCAGCUGAAUGGACCUUUAGAGACACAUAUACUAAACAUCAGAAAUGUUGCAAAUUACCUUACACAAUGCCAAAAACCUUAACGUCAAAGAAAAAGAAUAUAACAGACAGUUUUGAUAACCUACACCAACACCCACGGGGGAGAGUUUUCUUAGGUUCAAUGGAAACCAUCAGACUCUCUCUAAACUACUGUAGGCCACGAAGCAGCAGUCUACUCAGAAGGAUACGGUGGGGGAAGCACAGCGUGCCAGCAGGCCAACAGCCCUUGCUCCUCUUCUACGGCAGGCCUUCCAGCUGUCAACACUGCAGCAAUACACCAUUGCUGCAAUGAAAUGAGAUCCACGUUGAGAAUACGUGGGACCUGCCCUGAUGCAACAACCUGGUUCCUCACAGGAGCCACGCACCCUUAACAGCUCCACAGGCAUGGUUUCCAGGGUGCCCACCAGAGACACUGCCCACUGUUAGAAGUCACGCCAUCCUGGGAAAUCCAAAGCUGUCCCCAUCAGGGAUUUAUAAUUUCUCCCAGUCCAGAACCAUUUUACCAAUUUGGGAUCAUUUCUGCCAUAAGCAGUGUUGCCUAGUAACACACAUGGCAUCUUUCCCUAUCAAGUUACUAGGAGACUAGAGCGAGAGUUAACCAAAGGUCGAAUUCUCAUACAGAAAGGAAAAUAGGGUUUGUUAACGUCACUCUCUCCUGAAGUAAUCAGCAAACAAGUCAAAAUACGUACGCUCUAUAAACUAAGCUAAGGUCAAACAAAGAAACUCGUAAAAUAGCCAAUGAAUAUUACGCAGAUCACAAAACUCUUCCAAGCUAAUUUAUAAAUUUUUAGCAUAUGACACGUACAUGAAACACAAAACUCUCCAAAUCAAAUAACCUAGAUGAACAAAUGUGGAAAAAAAUAGCAUUAUUUCUUUCCACAUUUGACAGUACCUCUUUUUUUCUAACUUUGUUUUACAGCAAAUAUUUAAGAAUAAAGCAUUUUGGCAACUACCUAUAUAAAACUGUAAUCUUGAUGAAGUUUACAUAUUUCUUUCCAAGAAAAAACACAAAAAUUCAGAAGGCUUAAAGGAAAAGACUUAUAAAUCUAACGAAAUUUUAAAAUUCUCCUUUUUUAAACAAAAAGAGGAAGAGGGAUUUGUAACCACUUUGAAAAGCAAAUUGGUAACAUUAAUCAAAAUUUUAAAUGUCCUUAUCUUUUGACACAGCAGUUACACUUGGAGGAGUUUAUCCUAUAGAUAUGCUUACAUAUGUACUAAUUAUUUUGCUGGCAUCCAACUAAAAUGGUCAACAAUAGAAAGUUGGGGAGCUUUAAGGAAGAGAAUUACUUUCAAUUUUAAAUAGCAUAAGAUGACCCCACCAGCUAUAGAAGAUGGGGAAAAGGGCAUUCUACGCUUCCUUCUACUUCCUCUCCUGUCCUGAUUCUAUCAAGGCUACAGUAUCACAAACCUUUCUUCACAGAAGUUUAGAACGUUUACACUGGAUUCUAUAACCAUAAUCCCAUAGUUGUUUGGUCUUAGUUCUAGAUGUAAAUAAUUCAAUGCUGAUCAAUUUUUUCUUUUCCUCUCCUUUGUGCUCACUAAGUUUUUAUUAUGGAAAAUUUUAAACACACACAAAAGUAUAGUAUAAUGAAAGCCGAUGACCCCGUCACCUAGCCUUAACAGUUAAAAACGUACACUAACUUUGUUUCAUAUAUUCAACACUUCCUCUCCCACCACACCCCCAAGGCACCCCAAUUAUUUCAUUAUUUCUUUAGGUAGAGGGGGAAGAAAGCCAUGAUCCACUCCACCAACCUUUUCCAAGAAGUUUCAAGACUGAUUUCCUUUGCAUUGUAUACUCUUUUCCCUUCUCUAUUUGAUCUUUAAAUCAUGUUCGUCUACUAUCUUUCAUUUUUAUAAAAAAAGAGAAUUAAAACAUCCCUAUUAAAA